CGGAGGAGAACACAUUGAAGAUGGCUCCCCCCAACAGAAAAGGAGUUGACUCUACCUUGGUAGCUACACAUGUUGUUGCCGCCGAGAAGCCCAUCAAGAAGGCCGAAACCGCCACCAUACCUGAAGAGGCCGCGGCUUCCAAGCAAGAUGGAGCAAAAUCUACUUCUGUUGCAUCAAAGUACAAUGCCAUAUCUCAGCAGGAAACUAGUAAAGGUUCUUCUACCUCCCCUGGCAGGAAAGAAGCCGCCGCUACUUUAGCCGCUACGCACUAUGCUGCCGCCGAGAAGUCCAUCAAGAAGGCCAAAACUGCCACGACACCUGAAGAGGCCGCGGCUGCCAAGCGAGAUGCAGCAAAGUCUGUUGCUGAUGCACUAAAGUUUGGUGCCAUCUCUCGGCAAGCAGCUGGCACAAGUUCUUCAACCUCUCCCAACAGCAAAGAAGC
rnacentral:lncRNA from 1 species